GCUGCACGGAGCAACAAAGCGUGAGUGAUGAAGGUCUUCGGAUGGUAAACGUCUUUUAUCAGGGAAGAACAAAUGUGUACGUAAGUGUGCAAAUCUUGACGGUACGCAAUCAGAAAGCCACGGCUAUAUACGUCCCCGCAGGCGCUGUAAUAUGUGGGGCGCAAGCGUUCUCCGGAUUUUUUGGGUGUAAAGCUCGUGUGGGCGGUUUUUUAUGUGUUAUGUGAAAGCGCGCGUUUCAACCGUGGAGGGUCAUUGGAACGGGGAAAAUAGGAGUCCAGAAGGGGAAAGUGGAUUUCCAGGGGUACCGGUGAAAUGGCCAGAGACAGGGAGGACCCCCAGUGGGGAGGCAGGUUUUUUGGUCUGUAACUGCCGUGGAGAUGGGAAACCGGGGGGAUCAACCAGGUUUAGAUACCUUGUUGGUCCACCCGGUAACCGUGGAGUGUUAAGUGUAGGGCGUUUCCCC
rnacentral:rRNA from 1 species